GACGAACGCUGGCGGCGUGCUUAACACAUGCAAGUCGAACGGCGGGGUCAUGCUUUUCUGGCGAACUCGAGCGGCGAACGUGUGCGUACCGCCUUAGUAUCCGGCCCAGCCCUUUCAGAUGCCGUCUAAUACCUGAGGCUACUCCCGCUUAGGAGCUCCAGCCGCAUGUCGCGGGAUGGACAGUUUCGGCGGUUGGGGCUGGACUCGCGGCUUAUCAGUUUGUUGGUGGGGUAGUGGCUUACCAAGGCUUUGACGGGUAGCCGGCCUGAGAGGGUGACAGGCCACAGUGGGACUGAGAUACGGCCCAGACGCGUACGGGGGGCAGCAGUGGGGAAGAUGGCAGAAUGGGGGGAAGACGGAUGCAGCAGCGCCGCGUGCGGGAGGACGGACUUCGGGGUGGAAAGCGCUGUCGGCUGUGAAGAAGCGGGGGUGACGGUAAUGGGUAAAGAAGCACCGGCUAACUACGUG
rnacentral:rRNA from 1 species